GACGAACGCUGGCGGCGUGCCUAAUACAUGCAAGUAGAACGCUGAAGGAGGAGCUUGCUUCCCUGGAUGAGUUGCGAACGGGUGAGUAACGCGUAGGUAACCUGCCUGGUAGCGGGGGAUAACUAUUGGAAACGAUAGCUAAUACCGCAUAACAGUAGAUGUUGCAUGACAUUUGCUUAAAAGGUGCAAUUGCAUCACUACCAGAUGGACCUGCGUUGUAUUAGCUAGUUGGUGGGGUAACGGCUCACCAAGGCGACGAUACAUAGCCGACCUGAGAGGGUGAUCGGCCACACUGGGACUGAGACACGGCCCAGACUCCUACGGGAGGCAGCAGUAGGGAAUCUUCGGCAAUGGACGGAAGUCUGACCGAGCAACGCCGCGUGAGUGAAGAAGGUUUUCGGAUCGUAAAGCUCUGUUGUAAGAGAAGAACGGGUGUGAGAGUGGAAAGUUCACACU
rnacentral:rRNA from 1 species